AGCAUAAUGAGUCUUUGCCGACGGUAUCAGUUAAGAAGGACGAUGAUGCUCCGGAGAGACCUAAGCGGACACUCAUGGGCUGGAAAGACAAAAAAGUGACAAAAGAGAGUGAAGUUGGUUCUGAUCAUGCUGUUUUUCGAAAUAAAGAAAAGGUUCUCAUCACGUGUUCCCGUCGAAUCAAUUUUAGAAGGAUAACAAGGUGGAGUUGAGGUCCAGCAAGGGUGCAACACUGAAUGAGCUGGUUGAGCUCAAAGGUUGUUCUUCCAGCCUAUUUUUCGAGUGCAGAAAACAUAAAGAUCUUUAUCUAUGUAUGACAAAGUGCCCUAGUGGGCCAUCUGUGAAGUUUUUAGUUAAUGCCAUUUGUUUUCUCUAUUGUUGAUGACCAUAUCUGGUUCCGGAAUUACCAGGUUCAACUGGAGUCGACAACUUCAUGAGUUUUCUUUCAAAGAACAUUUCCAGAGACGAACAUUCUCGGUUGGUCGUUUAUGCUUCUGCAGAAAAUCUUGUUAGAUGUAUUCUAAUGCUAUUUAAAAUAUUUUUUGAUUAAGGGCUAGUAUUUCGUACAUGUGGAUUAUUGAAACUUGUAUUAAGAUGUACAAAUAUUAUAAAUCGUAUUAUAGUGUAUAUAUAUUAAAGUGUUGGCUAUUUUUUUGUA